AUGCCGGUUCUGCCCAACGUGAAGCCGGGAUACCUGCAGGACGAGCUUAGCGCGUCCCCGCCGACCCACUCCGCAUCAUUCGAUGUCACCAUGAAGGAGCUCAGGACCUCCGUUGUCCCCGGCAUGACACACUGGGCUAGCCCCAAUUUCUUCGCC
rnacentral:rRNA from 1 species